rnacentral:rRNA from 1 species
AUACGUAGGUGGCGAGCGUUGUCCGGAAUUACUGGGUGUAAAGGGCGUGUAGGCGGGGAUGCAAGUCAGAUGUGAAAUACCAUGGCUUAACUGUGGUGCUGCAUCUGAAACUGUGUUUCUUGAGUGCCGGAGAGGAAAGCGGAAUUCCAAGUGUAGCGGUGAAAUGCGUAGAGAUUUGGAGGAACACCGGUGGCGAAGGCGGCUUUCUGGACGGUAACUGACGCUGAGGCGCGAAAGCGUGGGGAGCAAACAGGAUUAGAUACCCUGGUAGUCCACGCUGUAAACGAUGGAUACUAGGUGUAGGAGGUAUCGACCCCUUCUGUGCCGGAGUUAACACAAUAAGUAUCCCACCUGGGGAGUACGGCCGCAAGGUUGAA